AAACUGUCUAACAAACUGAUUAUAUCAUUCUUUGGCUGUUAUAGGUACUGGGCCAUUCUGCUUGGGCCACUCCACAUUGCCCUGGGAUAUCUUCGGCCCGCUUCUUCCCUCAUCAGGAGGAUCAGUGGUAGCAGUAGCAGAAUCCCCGAUGAAUUUCUUCAAAAGGCUCACAUGGAACACUGGGUGGAGCUUCGAAGAAUUUGAGCAAGCGAGGUUUGCCUAUAAGGCUGCAGUUUCAGGUAAACCCUAUCUCCAACAGUA